GGGGUGCAACUGAAAAACCUUACGAGUAGGAC
rnacentral:ncRNA from 1 species